CGUGUAGGCGGCUGGGUAAGUCAGAUGUGAAAGUCCCGGGCUCAACCCGGGAAGUGCAUUUGAUACUGCUCAGCUAGAGUAAGGGAGAGGAAAGUGGAAUUCCUGGUGUAGGGGUGAAAUUCGUAGAUAUCAGGAGGAACACCGGUGGCGAAGGCGGCUUUCUGGCCCUAUACUGACGCUGAGACGCGAAAGCGUGGGUAGCAAACAGGAUUAGAUACCCUGGUAGUC
rnacentral:rRNA from 1 species